rnacentral:rRNA from 1 species
AACACAUGCAAGUCGAGCGGAGUUUACGAGAAAGCUUGCUUUUUUGUAAACUUAGCGGCGGACGGGUGAGUAACGCGUGGGCAACCUGCCUUGUACAGGGGGAUAACACAGGGAAACUUGUGCUAAUACCGCAUAACACAUUGAUAUGGCAUCGUAUUAAUGUCAAAGGAGCAAUCCGGUACGAGAUGGGCCCGCGUCCAAUUAGCUAGUUGGUGGGGUAAAGGCCUACCAAGGCGACGAUUGGUAGCCGAUCUUAGAGGAUGAUCAGCCACACUGGGACGGAGACACGGCCCAGACUCCUACGGGAGGCAGCAGUGGGGAAUUUUCCGCAAUGGGCGAAAGCCUGACGGAGCAACGCCGCGUGAGGGAUGAAGGCCUCUGGGCUGUAAACCUCUUUUCUCAAGGAAGAAGACCUGACGGUACUUGAGGAAUAAGCCACGGCUAAUUCCGUGCCAGCAGCCGCCGUAA